UAAGAGUUAUCCAACACAGUGGAUUUGGUGGUGGUAGCAGUUCUCUACUAAGGGUUUUCCAUCACUGCAUGGAUUUGGUGUAGCAGCAGUUUUCACUAGCCAUAAAAAUAAACAUCUUCGAUACCUAAAGCGUGUCUUGAUAUCAAACUAAAGAAAUAUAAUGGACAACUUGAUGAGGAGGGUUUUCUUUAACCCAAGCCCAAAAAAACUUGUUGGUCGGUUGUCAUAACGCACCUUGAAUAAGAAGAACAAUCACAGUCGAGGUUUCAAAAAGUCAAUCAAAAGUUUCCUUAUGCAGAAUUCUCAAUCAACUAUUUGACAAAGCUUCAGUUACGUAUCUGUUGGAAGAUGCAUGAUCAUGCACUUUCGUUAACCGACAUUCCUCAUGUCCUAGAGUCUUUCUAGUUUACUUGUGCCAUAAUUGAGUGUACACAAUCUGCUAGGCCUGUGCUUGAGUUGGAGCAGCUGGAUCUGAUCCUAUAUUGAGUAAAGUCUCUGAGUUUAAAGAUGCAUGUUGGAGAUUUUUUAGACCUCAUACAAUAAGAGGAACAUCUCUGGGCUCCUUGUAAGUAUUCUUUUCCUGCUGCCACAGUUAUUUCCAAUUAGCUGAUCAUAACACUUUUAGUUUUUCUUAUGUUUUGUCUCUCCCUGCUUGCCCCGUUUACUUGAACUUAUUCUUGCUCAUCAACGGUUCAUUGGUGGCUAGAGCUCUGAUCGAGAACUCGCACAUGAUAAAGUGGUCUCUUCUGCUUAAAGCAUUCUCUGGUCUUUUUGCUCUAAUAUGUGGGAAUGGAUAUAUUGUUGGCAUCAAUCAGAUAUACGAUAUCAGCAUUGACAAGGUCAACAAACCUUACUUGCUUAUAGCAGCAGGAGAUCUUUCUAUUCAACAUGCCUGGCUUUUGGUGAUUUUUUUUCCAGUGACUGGCGUGUCGAUUGUUGCUUCAAACUUUGGAUCAUUCAUCACUUCUCUUUACAGUCUGGGUCUUUUCUUGGAACCAUCUAUUCUGUUCCUCCUUUUAGGAUGAAGAGAUUUCCUGUUGCAGCAUUUCUUAUUAUUGCCACGGUAUAUUUUCUGCCUUUUUUUUUUUUUUUUUUUUUUUCCGUAGAAUUGAGUAGUUUAAAUUUACUUCAUCUUUUUGUGCCUUGCUGGAGGACUGUGUUCGACUCUUUUUUGGGGGAUAUUGUACUUGUAUUGGCACCAUAACUAAUAAAGUAUUGGUAUAUGACCUUUAAGGCUAUCACGGAUACUUCAUCGCAAUAUCUUAGAAAAAGAAUUGUCAAAA